GGCCGGUUAGCUUAGUUGGUUAGAGUGUGGUGUUAAUAACACCAAGGUCAUGGGUUCGAUCCCUGGAUGGGUCA